CCGGAUUUAUUGGGUUUAAAGGGUGCGUAGGCGGUUUUAUAAGUCAGCGGUGAAAUUUUCCGGCUCAACCGGGAUACUGCCGUUGAUACUGUAAGGCUAGGAUAUGGUUGCUGUGGGUGGAAUGUGUGGUGUAGCGGUGAAAUGCUUAGAGAUCACACAGAAUAUCGAUUGCGAAGGCAGCUCACAAAGCCAUUAUUGACGCUGAGGCACGAAAGUGUGGGGAUCAAACAGGAUUAGAUACCCUGGUAGUCCACACUGUAAACGAUGAUAACUCGCUGUCGGCGAUAUAAAGUCGGUGGCCAAGCGAAAGCGAUAAGUUAUCCACCUGGGGAGUACGACCGCAAGGUUGAAACUCAAAGGAAUUGACGGGGGCCCGCACAAGCGGAGGAACAUGUGGUUUAAUUCGAUGAUACGCGAGGAACCUUACCCGGGCUCGAACGGUGCAGGAAUACUACAGAGAUGUGGUAGCUAGCAAUAGUCUGUAUCGAGGUGCUGCAUGGUUGUCGUCAGCUCGUGCCGUGAGGUGUCGGCUUAAGUGCCAUAACGAGCGCAACCCUUGUCGUUAGUUGCCAUCAGGUCAAGCUGGGAACUCUAACGAGACUGCCACCGUAAGGUGUGAGGAAGGGGGGGAUGACGUCAAAUCAGCACGGCCCUUACGUCCGGGGCGACACACGUGUUACAAUGGCAGGUACAGAGGGGAGCUACCCAGCGAUGGGGUGCGAAUCUCAAAAGCCUGUCUCAGUUCGGAUUGGAGUCUGCAACUCGACUCCAUGAAGUUGGAUUCGCUAGUAAUCGCGCAUCAGC
rnacentral:rRNA from 1 species